GGGAUGUCCUUUCUAUUAGGCUUUUUUUUAUUUUUUAUUAUUUGCUACAGCUGUACAAGUGGUCUAAUUAGAUAUCACAUACCCUGAUAUAAGCAGGUUUGUAAGAUGCCGCUGGUGUGUUGAAGCCUUUCCGUGCGUCAUUGCCAGGGAUCGCCCCUUCCGUUUCGCUCCUCCCGCUUCCGCAUUUGCCCUGUUUGUUUGCAGGUAUGUGUUGUGUAGCUCAGCGCUUAUCCCUUAAUGACUUGAGGUAAACAUCACUCUAAACACUUCAUUUAUAGCUCUUGGAUCAUUCGUGUUGAUUAUCAUUUGUGACUGUUCCUGUAUCUAACCUUCCUCGGCGUAAUCUCGUGCCGGCCGCCGCUCUUGCGUGCACGCGAUCAGUGAAGACAUUCUAAGGUACGUGUUUGUUUGCAAGUAUGUGUUGUGUAGCCUAUCGCUUAUUGAAUGUGUGACGUGAAAUAAGUGUCUAAACAUUCGAUUCAUAGCUCUGGGAUGGCUCGUGAAUAAUUACUAUUCGUGGCUGCUCCUGCAUGUUCUCCUGUGUGAACUUGUGCUGGCUGCUGCGAUUCGGUGUGUGCGCUCUCGCAGUGACGUUGAAGGUACGUGUGUGCGCUCUCGCAGUGACGUUGAAGGUACGUGUAGUUUUAUUGCACUUGAACAUUUCUAAUGAGGCUGGAAAUAAUUUUAAUUAAUUCCCUGUAGGAGGAAUAUUUGGAUUUGGGACUAUGAUUAGCUGGCAACUAUUUAUGAUGAUGCUGCUGCUUUGUCUGUGAUUGUUCUACGAUGCAAUUUUAAAGCUUUUUGCAUCAACGUUGUGUGACGUUGGGGACAGAGUGGACGCUAAGGCGUCGGUUAAAGCCCGUCACAUAAAUGUAUAAUUGGGCCUUUUUUGGUUAAAUCUGUUUAUUCAUUUAUUUGUAUUUCUUAUGUUUUCUACCUGCCUUGGUUGUAAAUUGUCCUGCACCAUUAAUCUGAUCUUGAGGUGCAUUUCCCCAGUUGGCUGGACUUUUGAUCUUAAUGCAGGAGCCGAGGCUGCCGGCUGUCCAUUAGUAGGCCUCGAGUACGGUGGUGGGACUUCCGGAGUGCAGUGUGUUCACCAUUGAUGCCUGUGUGUGUAGUGUGGUGAGAGUGGAGCACCGGGUGUUUAAGGUUGCAGUGAUACCGGGGCUGUGUGCUCCUUAAUUAAUUUGGACUACCAUAGGCAUGCCUCGGUCUCCUUCAUAGUAACUCUUAGAUUUUCUAGCCUGAUGCCAUCGUACAUAAUUGAUUUUAAGAUUCCUGUUUUAAUAUAAUAAAGUUUUGUAUUUUUUGGUA